GACGAACGCUGGCGGCGUGCUUAACACAUGCAAGUCGAACGGUAAGGCCCUGCUUUUGUGGGAUGCUCGAGUGGCGAAAGGGUGAGUAACACGUGAGUAACCUGCCCUUGACUUUGGGAUAACUUCAGGAAACUGGGGCUAAUACCGGAUAGGAGCUCCUGCUGCAUGGUGGGGGUUGGAGAAUUUCGGCGGUUUGGGACGGACUCGGGGCCUAUCAGCUUGUUGGUGGGGUAGUGGCUUACCAAGGCUUUGACGGGUAGCCGGACUGCGAGGGUGACCGGCCACAUUGGGACUGGGAUACGGCCCAGACUCCUACGGGAGGCAGCAGUGGGGAAUAUUGCACAAUGGGCGGAAGCCUGAUGCAGCAACGCCGCGUGCGGGAUGACGGCCUUCGGGUUGUAAACCGCUUUCGCCUGUGACGAAGCGUGAGUGACGGUAAUGGGUAAAGAAGCACCGGCUAACUACGUG
rnacentral:rRNA from 1 species